CUUUGGGCAGACAUCUCUCUAGCUAUACUAUUUACUUUAAUAAUCUUCAUUUUCCUUAUGCUGAUUUGGGGAAGGGAAUAAGCAUUUAUUAAUUAACUCCUAUAGGUUGGAUACUGUGCUAAGUGAUUUAUAAAUAUUAUUUCAUUUAAUCCUCCAAAUAGCCCUGGGAGGUAUAUGCUAUUAUGAUCUCCAUUUUACAGUUGAGGAAACUGAGGCAGAAAGACAUUAAGUGAUUUACUCAGUCACAUAGCUAGUACGUCUCUGAAUUCAAAUUUGAACUCAGGUCUUCCUGAUUCCAACCUCAGUGCUCUAUUUUCUGUGCCACCUAGAUGCAUUUUUUCUGAAGAUGGAGGAGAUGAAGAGAGAGAAGUUUAUGGUAACAGAAGGGCAUUAAUUUAUGAGACUGUCUUUUGGAAAAAUUUGUCUAAAAAGUCUUGCUUUUCUAGUGUUUAUGUUUUUCCCUUGCAGAUACCUUAAAUAUGAAUAAUAGUUUCUGUCAGGAAGACAGAAUGAGUCCUGACAGGAUUGUUUGGAGGCCAUGACAGGGUAGAGAAGAAUGAAGCCAAGCAGCAUAGAGAUGUGUCAUCGGUGCUGUGCCUUGCCUGAUCAACAUUCGGUCAGCUACCACAUCCACCUGGAGCCUCAAGAUGAUGUUCCAAUGACUUCAUUCUCUUCAUCUAUACAAUCAGAGACACUGACAGCUUAUUCUGGGGCAAUACAAUAUUCCAAAUGGCGUUCAAUUACUCCUGUGCUGAACUAACGGGGGAUGGUUGUAGUGAGGUCACAUGGUGGCCAUGAUUCAUCAAAACAUGUAAAGCAUGAACACCUUAAUCUUAGGUCUCUUAUAUGUCCAAUGGGAAAAAUGAUGAAAAAGGUAACCUAAAUAUUACUUCAAUACUUUUAAUGGAUCCAUAAUCUCAUACUUGUGGAAGGUAUUUCCUCCCUCAACACAAAUGGCAGCCUAUUGAUUCUUUUUGAACUGGUGUGAUUCUUAUCUGUGUUUCUUGAAGUUGUAUGAGCUCUUGGGCUAUGCACUUCUUAUCCCUCAGAAUUACUAUGACAGGUCCUUUUCCUUUUCCAAUGAUACAUUUUUUGGAUGAUAGGUCAAUGUUGAUGGUUUGGUUAAAAAAAUGUAUAUGUAUAU
rnacentral:lncRNA from 1 species